rnacentral:rRNA from 1 species
CGCACGGGUGAGUAACGCGUAUGCGACCUGCCCGUUGCAGGGGGAUAAUCGGGAGAAAUCCCGUCUAAUACCGCGUAACGCCGCGGGGCUGCAUGGCCCUGCGGCCAAAGGGAGCGAUUCCGGCAACGGAUGGGCAUGCGUGACAUUAGCUAGUUGGCGGGGCAACGGCCCACCAAGGCGACGAUGUCUAGGGGUUCUGAGAGGAAGGUCCCCCACACUGGUACUGAGACACGGACCAGACUCCUACGGGAGGCAGCAG